rnacentral:lncRNA from 1 species
UCCAUAAUCCAUACAUAUAACACAUCCAUAAUCCAUACAUCAUAUAUAUAACAUCCUUAAUCCAUACAUCAUAUAUAUAACAUCCUUAAUCCAUACAGCAUAUAACACAUCUAUAAUCCAUACAGCAUAUUGCACAUGCAUGUAUAUAUAGCAUAGUCCAUAGCACAUCCAUGUAUAUAUAGCAUAAUCCAUAGCACAUCCAUAUAUAUAUAGCGUAAUCCAUAGCACAUCCAUGUCAUAAUAUUUGGCAUUACUACAUAAAAUUUGGCAUUACGAUAAAUGUCUUCAUGUCAAUAUCGUAGUCCAAAGAACAUCCGUACAACAACCU